rnacentral:lncRNA from 1 species
AGGUUUCAUACUAAUAUUGAUGAGGCCAUUUCAUAUUCAAAUCUAAUCUCAGCAAUAUAAAACACUACAAAAGUAGUACAUAAAUUCAAAAUUAACAAAAAAGUGGUGCAUCCAUAUAAAAAUUUAGAAAAAUAUUAUACGACCUACACUGCACCUACUCAGCAAAGUUCAAUCUAAAUAAUUUGUCAGCAUAGUUUACCACAUCAAAAAUCAUCUAACAAUUUUUUUAUUAAUUAAAAGUAGAAAUAUUUCAUUGAUCUAUGAAAAUUUCAAAAACUAUAUAUAUAUAUAUAUAAAGCAAUCAACAAUAGCACAUGUAUAUAACAUCAAAAUAACAAAGUGUAGUAAUUGCUAUUAUUGCUAAAUGCUUACACAUGAGUGAUAGCUUAUUGUAUAAUAUAUAUAUGAUGAGAUCUUAAUAUAUAAGAUACAUAAAUUGCCAAAGGUUCAUUGGUUGCCCUUCCUUUCUAGGUUAAGAUCUUGAAGGUUUCAACUAUGACCUAACUAGCUAGUAGCUAGGUCUACAUGAAACACUAUUUUGCCUUUAAUUUUGCUUCCAUCUUUGAUGCAAACACUUUGGAC